rnacentral:lncRNA from 1 species
GUUUAUUUGUAAUCAGCAGAGGGCUGUGGAGGGGGGAGGAAAGAUGGCAGGAGCAGCUGUCGGAGCGGCUCCUUGGGCGGAAAAUGAGAGCAAGCUGGAGGGCUGCGGACCUGCGCCCACGUCCUGGCUCUGCCCCCUCCGCUGGCUGUGUGCCCCUGGGCAUUGCCCCAGCUCAGGGGAAAGAGAAGGGGCGAUGGGACCCAUGGUCAGGGGGUGUGGGACCCGUGAGCUGCUGGCGGGACACAGAGAGAGCUCAGAACAUCACAGUGCAAAGAGCAGCACAGGGAACCCAGGAGCCUGUGAAGGGAAGGGGCUGGGACAGGACACUGCAAUCCCGGACACCUUCCAGGACCACCCCAGGGCCGGGGUGGUGGGUGGAGUCCCCACCACAGAGAAGGGAGACUGGACCAGGUCUGCUGUGUGAUGCCAGGAACUGGCUGCCCUCUCUGAGCCUCAGUCGUCCCAUCCGUUCAUUGGGGAUGACAGCAGUUGUCUCACCAGUCCCCUGGCCGGGAACCAGAGUUCCUGUUUCAGACCCCCGAUCUGUAGGAUGCCAAUGAAACAUCUUCAGAAAGCUACCUGAUGGGGUGGAAAUAACUCUACCACUUACUGGCUAUGUGACCUUGUGCGAGUCACUUACCCUCUCUGAGCCUCCGUUGACUCAUCUGUGAAAGGGGCUCAUCACAGUGCUGCCUCCUUGGGGUUGUGAUGACGAAAUGAGAUGGUGUGUUAAGCCCUACUACGAAGCCUAGCGGUAGGGCUCACCAGGGAGCGCCCACCCCCAUCUGGCAAACGCACCAAGAUACAUCUUCAGUUUUAAGACAUCCCAGGGAGGGCAAUGCUCACCCACGGAACGACUGGGUAAAGGUGGCCUUUCAGGCCCACCAUGGGCAGGUGAGGGAAAUCAUUUCUGCUCGGGGGCUUUGCCCUGGCCAUGCUCCUGCGACCCUUGCAUCUAUGCGAGCUCUUUGGGAGCUGGCAUUAUCCCAGCCUUCCGGGUGCCACAUUCCCUGGCUUCGGGGGCCUGACAGCCCUCGGCACCCAAGGCCCAGCCCCCACAAGGCAGAGGCGCUGCCGCCCUGCCGGCUCCCCAGCCGUCUCUGUUUGUUUGCCAGACUCUCUCCUAAUCCUCUUAAUCUUUUUACAUCUCAUCUGCCGGCGUGCCUGGUGGCUUCCAUUAGCGCCUUUCCGGCUAGACCUGGGUGCUGGGAGCUUCUCCCAGAGUCGUCCACUGGCCCUCGCAGGCUUGGCUGCUAACCUCUGGGCCCCCGGGAGGCUGGUGGUCUCCAGCUGGGGCCGGCAGCUAGUGGGGGCUUGUUUUCUUCUUAUUUUUCUUCACUCUCCCCCAAAGAAAUCACUUUUGCAUCUUCCUUUUCCAUUUUCUUUCCCAAAUUUCUCAAGUGGUCACUUACGCUGGUCCCUGAAGUGACAGGCGGGGGAAGACGGAGGAGAUGGGCCUUUUGCUCUGUGCCCACCAGGUGCCAGGGACAAGCCACAGUCCUGUGGAAGCCUCGCCAGUCCCGGGGGUCGAUGGUCCUCCCCAGACACAGGAGUUCGCUGGUGCAGGAGCACAAAGCAAAAGGGAGGCAGACGCUGAAUUUGAACCCACGCCGCUCCAUCUGCAUGCCAAAUUAUUUGCUGUUUACCAUCCCCUCCAUUUUUCAUAAAAAAAUCCCCAGAAGCGCUUUUAUCUGCAGAGAGAGGCAAAGAAUA